GAUGAACGCUAGCUACAGGCUUAACACAUGCAAGUCGAGGGGUAACGAGAGGAAAGCUUGCUUUCCUUGUCGACGACCGGCGCACGGGUGAGUAACGCGUAUCCAACCUGCCCCCAACUAGGGAAUAACCUUGCGAAAGUAAGACUAAUACCCUAUAAUUUCCUCAGAUGUCAUCUGACGAGGAAUAAAGAUUUAUCGGUUGUGGAUGGGGAUGCGUCUGAUUAGCUUGUUGGCGGGGUAACGGCCCACCAAGGCAACGAUGAGUAGGGGUUCGGAGAGGAAGGUCCCCCACAUCGGAACUGAGACACGGACCAACCUCCUACGGGAGGCAGCAGUGAAGAAUAUUGGUCAAUGGGCGGAAGCCUGAACCAGCCAAGUAGCGUGCAGGCUGACGGCCCUAUGGGUUGUAAACUGCUUUUAUACAGGAAUAAAGUUAGCCACGUGUUGUUAUUUGUAGGUACUGUAUGAAUAAGGACCGGCUAAUUCCGUGCCAGCCGCCGCAGUAA
rnacentral:rRNA from 1 species